GGAGACAAGGUUUCUUAGACAUGGCCAUGGCCCUCAGUGAAGAUGCCGAUGCCACAGGCAGUUCCUCCAGUGACCGUGAAAAGGUCCCCUGGGGCACAAGUAUAAUUUGGCACCCCUACCUUUCUCCUGCAGCUUUUCUGUCUACAUAGCUAACCAGCAGCAAGUUUAUCCUUGCAAGCGUUUCGGAUCAAGAACAACUUUCACCAGGAAGAAGUGCAAGACGAGUGAUUGAAGAAAAUAAAGUUGCUUCUGUGAUCUAAGAA
rnacentral:lncRNA from 1 species